rnacentral:rRNA from 1 species
UACGUAGGGGGCUAGCGUUGUCCGGAAUCAUUGGGCGUAAAGAGCGUGUAGGCGGCCCGGUAAGUCCGCUGUAAAAGUCAAAGGCUCAACCUUUGAAUGUCAGUGGAUACUGCCGGGCUAGAGUCCGGAAGAGGCGAGUGGAACUCCUGGUGUAGCGGUGGAAUGCGCAGAUAUCAGGAAGAACACCAACGGCGAAGGCAGCUCGCUAGGACGGUACUGACGCUGAGAACGCGGAAAGCGUGGGGAGCGAACAGG